rnacentral:rRNA from 1 species
UACGGGGGGGGCAAGCGUUGUUCGGAAUUACUGGGCGUAAAGGGCUCGUAGGCGGCCAACUAAGUCAUACGUGAAAUCCCUCGGCUUAACCGGGGAACUGCGUGUGAUACUGGAUGGCUUGAGAUUGGGAGAGGGAUGCGGAAUUCCGAGGUGUAGCGGUGAAAUGCGUAGAUAUCUGGAGGAACACCGGUGGCGAAGGCGGCAUCCUGGACCAACACUGACGCUGAGGAGCGAAAGCCAGGGGAGCAAAGCGGG